rnacentral:rRNA from 1 species
UACGAAGGGGGCUAGCGUUGUUCGGAUUUACUGGGCGUAAAGCGCACGUAGGCGGAUCGUUAAGUCGGUGGUGAAAUCCUGGAGCUCAACUCCAGAACUGCCUCCGAUACUGAGAGUCUCCGAGUCCGAGAGAGGUGAGUGGAACUGCGAGUGUAGAGGUGAAAUUCGUAGAUAUUCGCAAGAACACCAGUGGCGAAGGCGGCUCACUGGCCCGGUACUGACGCUGAGGUGCGAAAGCGUGGGGAGCAAACAGG